UACGUAGGGGGCAAGCGUUGUCCGGAUUUAUUGGGCGUAAAGAGCGUGUAGGCGGCCUGACAGGUCUGCUGUGAAAACUCGAGGCUCAACCUCGAGAUGUCGGCGGAAACCGUCUGGCUAGAGUCCGGAAGAGGAGAGUGGAAUUCCUGGUGUAGCGGUGAAAUGCGUAGAUAUCAGGAGGAACACCGGUGGCGAAGGCGGGUCUCUGGGCCGAUACUGACGCUGAGGAGCGAAAGCGUGGGGAGCGAACAGG
rnacentral:rRNA from 1 species